rnacentral:rRNA from 1 species
UACAGAGGGGGCAAGCGUUGUUCGGAAUUACUGGGCGUAAAGGGCGCGUAGGCGGCCUUCUAAGUCGAACGUGAAAUCCCCGGGCUCAACCUGGGAACUGCGUCCGAUACUGGAAGGCUUGAAUCCGGGAGAGGGAUGUGGAAUUCCAGGUGUAGCGGUGAAAUGCGUAGAUAUCUGGAGGAACACCGGUGGCGAAGGCGACAUCCUGGACCGGUAUUGACGCUGAGGCGCGAAAGCCAGGGGAGCAAACGGG